GAUGAACGCUGGCGGCGUGCCUAAUACAUGCAAGUCGAGCGAACAGAUGAGGAGCUUGCUCCUCUGACGUUAGCGGCGGACGGGUGAGUAACACGUGGAUAACCUACCUAUAAGACUGGGAUAACUUCGGGAAACCGGAGCUAAUACCGGAUAAUAUAUUGAACCGCAUGGUUCAAUAGUGAAAGACGGUUUUGCUGUCACUUAUAGAUGGAUCCGCGCCGCAUUAGCUAGUUGGUAAGGUAACGGCUUACCAAGGCAACGAUGCGUAGCCGACCUGAGAGGGUGAUCGGCCACAAUGGAAAUGAGACACGGUCCAGACUCCUACGGGAGGCAGCAGUAGGGAAUCUUCCGCAAUGGGCGAAAGCCUGACGGAGCAACGCCGCGUGAGUGAUGAAGGUCUUCGGAUCGUAAAACUCUGUUAUUAGGGAAGAACAAAUGUGUAAGUAACUAUGCACGUCUUGACGGUACCUAAUCAGAAAGCCACGGCUAACUACGUG
rnacentral:rRNA from 1 species